GACGAACGCUGGCGGCGUGCCUAAUACAUGCAAGUAGAACGCAGUUGCGAACGGGUGAGUAACGCGUAUGUAACUGCCUCAUAGCGGGGGAUUACUAUUGGAAACGAUAGCUAAUACCGCAUACUGUGAGAUGGACCUGCGUUGUAUUAGCUAGUUGGUGAGGUAAAGGGUCACCAAGGCGACGAUACAUAGCCGAGGUGAGAGGGAGUUCGGCCAACACGGGACUGGAGAACGGCCCAAGAUCCUAACGGAGGCAGCAGGUGGGAAUCUUCGGAAAUGGAGGGAAGUCUGAACGAGCAAAGCCGCGGGGGAGAAGAAGGGUUUCGGAUUGUAAAGCUAUGUUGUGAGAGAAGCGGUAACUAAACAGGAAGGGACGGCUAACUACGUGCCAGCAGCCGCGGUAAUAC
rnacentral:rRNA from 1 species